ensembl:lncRNA
GCGGACUUCAAACUAUACACCAGUUUUUGAAUUGUGUCGACAGGCCACGUAAAACCAGAGUUAUGAUAAAAAAUACACGCCAUGUUUUUUUUUUUUCUGAACAAAACAGUGGUGUUUACAGCGGGAAGAACGGCCUCAAACAUAGUCCAGCAUCGACGAACCAUCAGUUUGGAAGGGUUACAGAUAUUUAUUCGUGACGACGAGACCAAACUCUUCUUAACAUGUCUGGUGAGUAUGCAAAUCUACUCAAUCUUCAGUUUUGGUUUACAGAGACUUGUAUGUACUGUUGUUAAUUUUGCAUAGGAUACAGAUCCAGUUGAGAGGGCAACCCGAGGUGUUACGGUGGGCAUCCUCACUGUUCUGGAGGACUAUGUGGGACCCAACUCGCAGUCCACAGUGGUCAACACUGCCAUUGUUUUGGAAGAGGACAUUAUUCUUGAUGAUCUGCCAGACCUUCCCACUGCCUUUGCCUACCUGUUUGGCCUACUUUAUGGGGUCAACAUGGAGUUUCCCAAAGAACUCAAGUACACAUUUGUUUGCUGUAUGGAAACCAGAUAGAAGAGUUCAUAUCCUGCCAUCUGAUGUUUUGAAUCUGUUUGUUAGUGACUAUCAGUCAAGAUAGGUUUGAUAUUCUGUCUGACAAUAC